AACGCAGCGAAGGGCGAUAAGUAAUGUGAAUUGCAGAAUUCAGUGAAUCAUCGAAUCUUUGAACGCACCUUGCGCUCCUUGGUAUUCCGAGGAGCAUGCCUGUUUGAGUGUCAUGAAAUCUUCAACCUAUAAGCUUUUGUGGUUUGUAGGCUUGGACUUGGAGGCUUGUCGGCCUUGAUCGGUCGGCUCCUCUUAAAUGCAUUAGCUUGAUUCCUUGCGGAUCGGCUCUCGGUGUGAUAAUAUCUACGCCGCGACCGUGAAGCGUUUGGCGAGCUUCUAACCGUCUCACUUGAGAGACAACUUUAUGACCUCUGACCUCAAAUCAGGUAGGACUACCCGCUGAACUUAA
rnacentral:rRNA from 1 species